GUCAACGAGCUAGGCACUGUGAAAGAGUGAGAUAGACGUCUAACAUAAAUAGAAGAGGAGAGGAAUCCACUCUACUUUAAUGCGCGGAAAUGGGACCUCUAAAAUCGACAUAAAAAGGAGGAAAGCCCUAGUGGUUAAACUUUUGGGGAGAUCGAUUGGAUAUCAAUUUCUGUGCAAGAAAGUAGAGCAAAUAUGGAAGCCAAAGGGUGAGAUUGAUGUCAUU
rnacentral:lncRNA from 1 species